rnacentral:snRNA from 1 species
AUCGCUUCUCGGCCUUUUGGCUAAGAUCAAGUGUAGUGAAGUAUAGUUGAUUUAUAAUAUUGUAUUAAUUUUUUCUGUACAACAAAGUGAUUCAAUUAUAUGUUUAUAUAUAUAUUCUUUUUCAUAUUCUUUUCCAUUAUAGCUUAUCAUAGGAUAUUGAAUAUAGUUCCC